AAACCGUCCAAUGCUUUAAAAAAAAAACAAAGCAUAAAAAGUAACUAUAGUAGUACUACACUUUUUUUACAGCGAAAUAAGAACUAUAAACACCAGAACAUUUUUGGGAAAGUAAAAAAAUUACUUCUUACAAAACGAGAAGAUGGAAACAUUGUUUUAGAUGAUAAUAAAUACGAUGUUGCUUUAGUAUUACCUCAAGUUGUAGGCGAAAAAGUGACUCAUGAUAGUAAAUGUGUUAGUGACUAUAACAAAAGUGGCCGUACCAAUAAUUAUGAUAAUAUUGUAUCAACGUUGAAAGAUUAUUUUGAUAAAAUUAACAGUUAUAUAAACAUGGAAGAAUAUAAACAUAUGUAUGGUGAAGAAUUAUAUAACGAGAUGGUAAAACUAUACGUAAAAAGAGAAUUUGCAGAAAAUUAUGAAAAGUUUUAUUUUAAUGACAUUGUUAAUAAAAGCAUUAUAUUUAAUUUAAAUGAUUUCAAUGAUGAUAUUCAAUUUUUUACAAAUUUACAAAAUGAAUUCAUAAAAAAUGGUGUAUAUAUAAACACGAUUGAUAAAAAGUAUUAUAAUAAAAAAAAUAUAUUAAGAAUGAAAAAGAUUUUACAGUAUAUGCCUUUAUUAAAAAUAAUUAAUAAUCCUAAUGAUUUAAAACUAUUAAAACCUAAAUAUUUAUGUUUAUUAGCACAUGAAAUAAAAAUGUUUCUUUUUUUUAUGAUUAAUAUAACAGGUGGUCAUUUUUCUCCUUCUUUAGGUUUAUUGGAAUUACAAAUAUUAUUAUUAUACAUAUUUAAUCAACCAAAUGAUAUUGUCAUAUAUGACAUAGGUCACCAAGCAUACGUACAUAAAAUUUUAACUGGUAGAAAGUUGUUAUUUUUUUCACUUCGAAAAAAAAAAGGAAUUAGUGGGUUUUUAAAUAUAUUUGAAAGUAUUUAUGACAAAUUUGGAGCAGGACAUAGUUCAACUGCUUUAAGUGCUAUUCAAGGUUUUUAUGAAGCUGAUUGGCAGGUUCUACAACUAAAAAAAGAAACGAGACAACAAGAAACAGAAAAAAAAAACAUGUUACAUGAUACAAAUGACUUAAACAAAAGUAAUGGUAAUACAAACGGUGAUUACUCCUCUGUAUGGUCAGAUAAAAUGAUUGAUAAAAACAUAUUAUUAACAGGUUCUUCUGAAAAAACUCAAACUUGUGAUACACAAAAAAGUAUUACUUUUUCAGAAGAAAGAAACAACUCAAAUAAUGUCGACAUGAAUAAAAUGCACAUAGCAGUUAUUGGUGAUGGAGGAUUAACAGGUGGUAUGGCAUUAGAGGCAUUAAAUUAUAUUUCUUUUUUGAAAUCUAAUGUUUUAAUUAUUUAUAAUGAUAAUGGACAAGUGUCUUUACCAACAAAUGGGAUAAGCAUUUCUGGAAAUAGUCCAAUCGGUUCUAUUUCAGAUCACUUACAUGAUUAUGUUAAGAAAAAAAAUAAAAAAAAUAAUGUAUCUUACCCUGACAAGCAAAAUAAUAUUUUUGAAAAUUUAAAUUAUAAUUACAUAAAAGUAGAA
rnacentral:lncRNA from 1 species